UACGGGGGGGGCAAGCGUUGUUCGGAAUUACUGGGCGUAAAGGGCUCGUAGGCGGCCAACUAAGUCCGACGUGAAAUCCCAAGGCUUAACCUUGGAACUGCGUCGGAUACUGGAUGGCUUGAAUUCGGGAGAGGGAUGCAGAAUUCCUGGUGUAGCGGUGGAAUGCGCAGAUAUCAGGAGGAACACCGGUGGCGAAGGCGGGUCUCUGGGCAGUAACUGACGCUGAGGAGCGAAAGCGUGGGGAGCGAACAGG
rnacentral:rRNA from 1 species